CCUACGGGCGACAGCAGUGGGGGAUAUUGGACAAUGGGGGAAACGCUGAUCCAGCGACGCCGCGUGAGUGAAGAAGUAUUUCGGUAUGUAAAGCUCUUUUUGCAGGGAAGCAAGAAAUGACGGUACCUGACCCAGAAGCCCCGGCUAACUACGUGCCAGCAGCCGCGGUAAUACGUAGGGGGCAAGCGUUAUCCGGAAUUACUGGGUGUAAAGGGAUCGUGGGCGGUUAAGGAAGUCCGGAGUGAAAGGCCGGGGCCCAACCCCGUGACUGCUCUGGAAACUAUUGAACUUGAGUGCAGGAGAGGUAAGCGGAAUGCCUAGUGUAGCGGUGAAAUGCGUAGAUAUUAGGAGGAACACCAGUGGCGAAGGCGGCUUACUGGACUGUAACUGACGUUGAGGCUCGAAAGCGUGGGGAGCAAACAGGAUUAGAUACCCUAGUAGUC
rnacentral:rRNA from 1 species